rnacentral:rRNA from 1 species
UUCCAUAUAUAAGAUUUUAUGGUAGUACCUGCUCUAUGUAUUUUAGUAUAAAUGGCCGCAGUAUUUUGACUGUGCAAAGGUAGCAUAAUUAAUUGCCUUAUAAUUGAAGGCUUGUUUGAAUGGUUUGACGUGGUAAGUAUAAAUAUUUGAUUUUUUAUUGAAAUUUGUGUAGAGGGCACAGAAUCCUCUAUUAUUAAUUAGACGGAAAGACCCCAGGAUCUUUCUUUUUUGUCUGGGGCAGAUGAAAAUAUUUCAUUUUUAUUUUGACCCUUUUUGGUUCAUUGAGUUAAGUUACCCUGGGGAUAACAGUGUAAUAGUUUAUUAGAGGCCUUAUCGAAUAAACUGUUUGCUACCUCGAUGUUGACUUAGGUAAAUAGACUAGGCGCAGUAGUCUAGUCUUUUGGUCUGUUCGACCUUUGUUACCUCC